GACGAACGCUGGCGGCGUGCUUAACACAUGCAAGUCGAACGGAAAGGCCCUGCUUUUGUGGGGUGCUCGAGUGGCGAACGGGUGAGUAACACGUGAGUAACCUGCCCUUGACUUUGGGAUAACUUCAGGAAACUGGGGCUAAUACCGGAUAGGAGCUCCUGCUGCAUGGUGGGGGUUGGAAAGUUUCGGCGGUUGGGGAUGGACUCGCGGCUUAUCAGCUUGUUGGUGGGGUAGUGGCUUACCAAGGCUUUGACGGGUAGCCGGCCUGAGAGGGUGACCGGCCACAUUGGGACUGAGAUGCGGCCCAGACUCCUACGGGAGGCAGCAGUGGGGGUUAUUGCACAAUGGGCGGAAGCCUGAUGGAGCAACGCCGCGUGCGGGAUGACGGCCUUCGGGUUGUAAACCGCUUUCGCCUGUGACGAAGCGUGAGUGACGGUAAUGGGUAAAGAAGCACCGGCUAACUACGUG
rnacentral:rRNA from 1 species